GGUAGCUUGCUACCUAACCUAGCGGCGGACGGGUGAGUAAUGCUUAGGAAUCUGCCUAUUAGUGGGGGACAACAUUCCGAAAGGAAUGCUAAUACCGCAUACGCCCUACGGGGGAAAGCAGGGGAUCUUCGGACCUUGCGCUAAUAGAUGAGCCUAAGUCAGAUUAGCUAGUUGGUGGGGUAAAGGCCUACCAAGGCGACGAUCUGUAGCGGGUCUGAGAGGAUGAUCCGCCACACUGGGACUGAGACACGGCCCAGACUCCUACGGGAGGCAGCAGUGGGGAAUAUUGGACAAUGGGCGAAAGCCUGAUCCAGCCAUGCCGCGUGUGUGAAGAAGGCCUUUUGGUUGUAAAGCACUUUAAGCGAGGAGGAGGCUACCGAGAUUAAUACUCUUGGAUAGUGGACGUUACUCGCAGAAUAAGCACCGGCUAACUCUGUGCCAGCAGCCGCGGUAAUACAGAGGGUGCGAGCGUUAAUCGGAUUUACUGGGCGUAAAGCGUGCGUAGGCGGCUUUUUAAGUCGGAUGUGAAAUCCCUGAGCUUAACUUAGGAAUUGCAUUCGAUACUGGGAAGCUAGAGUAUGGGAGAGGAUGGUAGAAUUCCAGGUGUAGCGGUGAAAUGCGUAGAGAUCUGGAGGAAUACCGAUGGCGAAAGGCAGCCAUCUGGCCUAAUACUGACGCUGAGGUACGAAAGCAUGGGGGA
rnacentral:rRNA from 1 species